UAUAGCUCAGUGGUAGAGUGCGUGCUUAGCAUGCAUGAGGUCCUGGGUUCAAUCCUCAGUA
rnacentral:tRNA from 1 species